rnacentral:rRNA from 1 species
UACGUAGGGUGCGAGCGUUAAUCGGAAUUACUGGGCGUAAAGUGUGCGCAGGCGGCCGCGCAAGUCGAGUGUGAAAGCCCCGAGCUUAACUUGGGAAUUGCGCUCGAAACUACGUGGCUGGAGUGUGGCAGAGGAAGGUGGAAUUCCACGUGUAGCGGUGAAAUGCGUAGAGAUGUGGAGGAACACCGAUGGCGAAGGGCAGCCUUCUGGGCCAACACUGACGCUCAUGCACGAAAGCGUGGGGAGCAAACAGG